rnacentral:rRNA from 1 species
UACGUAGGGCGCAAGCGUUGUCCGGAAUUAUUGGGCGUAAAGAGCUCGUAGGCGGCUUGUUGCGUCGGUUGUGAAAGCCCGGGGCUUAACCCCGGGUCUGCAGUCGAUACGGGCAGGCUAGAGUGCGGUAGGGGAGACGUGGAAUUCCAUGGUGGUAGCGGUGAAAUGCGCAGAUAUCAGGAGGAACACCGGUGGCGAAGGCGGCUCUCUGGAACGCAACUGACGCUGAGACGCGAAAGCGUGGGGAGCAAACAGG